rnacentral:rRNA from 1 species
UGGUGCCAGCAGCCGCGGUAAUUCCAGCUCCAAUAGCGUAUAUUAAAAUUGCAGCAGUUAAAAAGCUAGUAGUUGAUCUUCUGCCGCCCCGCCGCGGCCCCCCCAGACGUCGCGGCUUAUUUGGGCGACCUCGCGUCUCCGAAUGUUUACUUUGAGAAAAUUAGAGUGCUCAAAGCAGGCCCUUGCCUUGAAUACUUUAGCAUGGAAUAAUAAAGUAGGACUUUGGUUCUAUUUUGUUGGUUUAGCGCCAAAGUAAUGGUUAAUAGGAACAGUUGGGGGCAUUCGUAUUUAACUGUCAGAGGUGAAAUUCUUAGAUUUGUUAAAGACGAACCACUGCGAAAGCAUUUGCCAAGGAUGUUUUCAUUAAUCAAGAACGAAAGUUAGGGGAUCGAAGACGAUCAGAUACCGUCGUAGUCCUAACCAUAAACCAUGCCGACUAGAGAUUGGAGGUCGUCAGUUUUUACGACUCCUU